rnacentral:rRNA from 1 species
GAUGAACGCUGGCGGCGUGCCUAAUACAUGCAAGUAGAACGCUGAAGGAAGGAGCUUGCUCUUUCCGGAUGAGUUGCGAACGGGUGAGUAACGCGUAGGUAACCUGCCUGGUAGCGGGGGAUAACUAUUGGAAACGAUAGCUAAUACCGCAUAACAGUAGAUGUUGCAUGAUAUCUACUUAAAAGGUGCAAUUGCACCACUACCAGAUGGACCUGCGUUGUAUUAGCUAGUUGGUGAGGUAACGGCUCACCAAGGCGACGAUACAUAGCCGACCUGAGAGGGUGAUCGGCCACACUGGGACUGAGACACGGCCCAGACUCCUACGGGAGGCAGCAGUAGGGAAUCUUCGGCAAUGGACAGAAGUCUGGCCGAGCAACGCCGCGUGAGUGAAGAAGGUUUUCGGAUCGUAAAGCUCUGUUGUAAGAGAAGAACGAGUGUGAGAGUGGAAAGUUCACACUGUGACGGUAUCUUACCAGAAAGGGACGGCUAACUACGUG